rnacentral:rRNA from 1 species
AGGGAAAGCUGGCGGCAGGCCUAACACAUGCAAGUCGAACGGUAACAGGAAGCAGCUUGCUGCUUCGCUGACGAGUGGCGGACGGGUGAGUAAUGUCUGGGAAACUGCCUGAUGGAGGGGGAUAACUACUGGAAACGGUAGCUAAUACCGCAUAACGUCGCAAGACCAAAGAGGGGGACCUUAGGGCCUCUUGCCAUCGGAUGUGCCCAGAUGGGAUUAGCUAGUAGGUGGGGUAACGGCUCACCUAGGCGACGAUCCCUAGCUGGUCUGAGAGGAUGACCAGCCACACUGGAACUGAGACACGGUCCAGACUCCUACGGGAGGCAGCAGUGGGGAAUAUUGCACAAUGGGCGCAAGCCUGAUGCAGCCAUGCCGCGUGUAUGAAGAAGGCCUUCGGGUUGUAAAGUACUUUCAGCGGGGAGGAAGGGAGUAAAGUUAAUACCUUUGCUCAUUGACGUUACCCGCAGAAGAAGCACCGGCUAACUCCGUG